rnacentral:rRNA from 1 species
GACGAACGCUGGCGGCGUGCUUAACACAUGCAAGUCGAACGGAAAGGCCCUGCUUUUGUGGGGUGCUCGAGUGGCGAACGGGUGAGUAACACGUGAGUAACCUGCCCUUGACUUUGGGAUAACUUCAGGAAACUGGGGCUAAUACCGGAUAGGAGCUCCUGCUGCAUGGUGGGGGUUGGAAAGUUUCGGCGGUUGGGGAUGGACUCGCGGCUUAUCAGCUUGUUGGUGGGGUAGUGGCUUACCAAGGCUUUGACGGGUAGCCGGCCUGAGAGGGUGACCGGCCACAUUGGGACUGAGAUACGGCCCAGACUCCUACGGGAGGCAGCAGUGGGGAAUAUUGCACAAUGGGCGGAAGCCUGAUGCAGCAACGCCGCGUGCGGGAUAACGGCCUUCGGGUUGUAAACCGCUUUCGCUUGUGACGAAGCGUGAGUGACGGUAAUGGGUAAAGAAGCACCGGCUAACUACGUG